GACGGAGGGGGCUAGCGUUGUUCGGAAUUACUGGGCGUAAAGGGCGCGUAGGCGGAUUGGUAAGUUGGAAGUGAAAUCCCGGGGCUUAACCUCGGAAUUGCUUUCAAAACUGUCAGUCUAGAGUGAAGGAGGGGGUGAUGGAAUUCCUAGUGUAGAGGUGAAAUUCUUAGAUAUUAGGAGGAACACCGGUGGCGAAGGCGGUCACCUGGACUUCAACUGACGCUGAGGCGCGAAAGCGUGGGUAGCAAACAGG
rnacentral:rRNA from 1 species